AGAGUUUGAUUAUGGCUCAGGAUGAACGCUAGCGAUAGGCCUAACACAUGCAAGUCGAGGGGCAGCACAUGAAGUAGCAAUACGGAUGGUGGCGACCGGCGCACGGGUGAGUAACGCGUAUGCAACCUGCCUACAACAGGGGAAUAACCCGUUGAAAGACGGACUAAUACCCCAUAACACAGGGAUCCCGCAUGGGAAUAUUUGUUAAAGAUUUAUCGGUUGUAGAUGGGCAUGCGUUCCAUUAGCUUGUUGGUGAGGUAACGGCUCACCAAGGCAACGAUGGAUAGGGGAACUGAGAGGUUUAUCCCCCACACUGGUACUGAGACACGGACCAGACUCCUACGGGAGGCAGCAGUGAGGAAUAUUGGUCAAUGGACGCAAGUCUGAACCAGCCACGUCGCGUGAAGGAAGACGGCCCUACGGGUUGUAAACUUCUUUUGUAAGGGAAUAAAGUGUAGUACGUGUACUAUUUUGCAUGUACCUUACGAAUAAGGAUCGGCUAACUCCGUGCCAGCAGCCGCGGUAAUACGGAGGAUCCGAGCGUUAUCCGGAUUUAUUGGGUUUAAAGGGUGCGCAGGCGGGAGAUUAAGUCGGCGGUGAAAUUUUGCAGCUCAACUGUAAAAGUGCCUUCGAAACUGGUUUCCUUGAGUGUGGAUGAAGUAGGCGGAAUUUGUGGUGUAGCGGUGAAAUGCAUAGAUAUCACGAGGAACUCCGAUUGCGCAGGCAGCUUACUAAACCAUAACUGACGCUCAGGCACGAAAGGCGUGGGGGAUCAAACAGGAUUAGAUACCC
rnacentral:rRNA from 1 species